ensembl:snRNA U6 U6 spliceosomal RNA
AUGCUCACUUCGGCAGCACUAAACUUGGAGCAAUACAGAUUAGCAGGGCCCUACACAUGGAUGACAUACAAAUAUAUAGAUUAGAUAUAUCAUCUG